GACGAACGCUGGCGGCGUGCUUAACACAUGCAAGUCGAACGGAAAGGCCCUGCUUUUGUGGGGUGCUCGAGUGGCGAACGGGUGAGUAACACGUGAGUAACCUGCCCUUGACUUUGGGAUAACUUCAGGAAACUGGGGCUAAUACCGGAUAGGAGCUCCUGCUGCAUGGUGGGGGUUGGAAAGUUUCGGCGGUUGGGGAUGGACUCGCGGCUUAUCAGCUUGUUGGUGGGGUAGUGGCUUACCAAGGCUUUGACGGGUAGCCGGCCUGAGAGGGUGACCGGCCAAAUUGGGAAUGAGGUAGGGCCCAGCCUCCUAGGGGAGGCAGCAGUGGGGAAUAUUGCACAAUGGGGGGAAGCCUGAUGCAGAAACGCCGCGGGGGGGAUGAGGGCCUUCGGGUUGUAAACCGCUUUCGCCGGGGACGAAGCGGGAGUGACGGUAAUGGGUAAAGAAGCACCGGCUAACUACGU
rnacentral:rRNA from 1 species